UACGAAGGGGGCUAGCGUUGCUCGGAAUUACUGGGCGUAAAGCGCACGUAGGCGGCUUUCUAAGUCGGGGGUGAAAUCCUGGAGCUCAACUCCAGAACUGCCUUCGAUACUGGAAAGCUCGAGUCCGGGAGAGGUGAGUGGAACUGCGAGUGUAGAGGUGAAAUUCGUAGAUAUUCGCAAGAACACCAGUGGCGAAGGCGGCUCACUGGCCCGGUACUGACGCUGAGGUGCGGAAAGCGUGGGGAGCAAACAGG
rnacentral:rRNA from 1 species